UUAUCAAUAAAGUGAAGAAAGAUGUAAUAUCUACCUAGCCAGUAUCAUUGUGAAGAUUAAAUAGAGUAAGUUGUGUGAGAUGCUGUUUGCUAUUUAGCCUUCUCUUCUGCCACCUUUAUAGUCAGUGCUAUGUAACCAAGCCCCCACUAUUCCCAGGACCAGCACCAGCCACUCCCAGCUGGCCCUUCCCCCAUUCUCAGCUCUCCAGAAGGGCCCUGCUUCAGGAUAAGGUCACACUGCCUGAUCCCUCAUCGACCUUUUAUUCUCCCACUCCUUGUGGCCUUAUCUUCACUCUAACUCAUUGACUUUGGGUGUCCUUGAACCAACUUUCUCUAAUGGCAGUAGAUUUCUUGUCUUCCAGGGCUCAGCCAGCUUUGUGACUAACCCCAGCCUGCCCCAACUGCCUGCUACCUUAGCUUGCUUUUGGCUUUGCAGUUUUCCUUGGCUACAAGCCCAAAGUAGUGACGUCAUUCACC
rnacentral:lncRNA from 10 species